ACAGGAUGGUGCUAGCAUAUAUAAGACUGAAACACCAAAGUCCUCCGUGGAAGUUAAUGAAUUUCUGGUUAUGAGUUGGAUUCUUCAGCGGAGUAUUUGAGCCAUGCCUUGAGGCACAUACUUCAAGUUGCUGCAUCCAGUUUUAAACUCCAGAUUGAGCUUUACAUAUUAAAUGUGCACAUUUGUUUUCACAUUUUUGAGCUUUGCCAGUGGCACCCUCUCUAAUUAAUCAUCCCGCGGGCUUAGAAAACUUCUGCCCAAUCCUUUCUGAUUUGUUAAAAGAAAGAGAGAAGGUUUUAGUCUGAAAAAGGCCUUAUCUGAUAAACAUCACAUUAUAUGGAUUUUUACAUUUAAGUACAUUUUCUUUUUAAAUCCGGUGGCUUUCCCAAACUAGAAAGAUGGAGUGUUUGCAUACAUCCACCAACCACCAACAUCAGCAGAAAGAAAGCUUGAUACAGUAAAGGAAAGAAAUGGCAAUUUAACAGUUCUUUUAUUUUCCAUUCAGAUCACAUACACAUUAACCAAAUGAGGCCUCACAGCGUGGAAUCUGAUAUCAUAGCAAUGUUUUCAGGAAGCAAUAAUUGAAUACUCCUCAUUAAAAAGGUUCAUAAAAGAAUCCUAUUAAAACCAAUACGAAUAAUAAACCUUGAAAAUGCUGCUUUAAAUUCCAAGAGGAUGGCGAAGAUCUGCGUCAGUAACAGUCUUCCUGUUCAUAGAGUGAUUUUGAAAAUCUCGUGGGCUGAAUUUUUCCAAGCCAAGCAGGCAUCUCACUAUCCAGUGAAAGACCCAGGGACUAUUUUGAAUGCAUUCAAUCCAAGCCUGUGCCUUUCACAGUCAGUUUUCUCCAAGAAUUUAUCCCUAAUCCUGACAGGAUACCCAACCAAAAGGCUAAUUAUUUUUAGUCACUUAAUUAAUAGAUAAUUCUUACAAAGAGCCCAACACCUGAACCCACCAAGUCCUCUUUGCAUGGGCAAAUCCAGCUGGUUUGAUGCACUAAUUUCACUAAAUGAAAAUUUGGACAAAUUUUAUGUUACUGCAAAUAAUGGUAAAUGUAUCCAAUUCAAAAAAUAGUAAUAAAAAGGUUAUUUUUUUGUUCCCUUUUUAAUCACAGAGGCAGCUGUGGUAGACCCCAAAUGCACAGGGCAUAUGGCUCACCUCACCACCCCAGAUGGUGCUACUGGCCCAGCCUUCCCAGCGUCCACCCUGGCAGUCUUUCCUCAUUCCCUUGGCCCUCACCCUGUCUCCUCAGCCUUCCAGCUGCACUGCUAUUGUAGGCUGCUCUUUCUCGACAAUCUCCUCUUAUUUUCUGUGAUGUCUCAGGAUGUUUCUUCUUCUCAGGGGUUUUCCAAGCUUCUUCCACACUCAGGUGCUCAGACGUUUUUAUGGUCUGGCUUCUGAAGGAGAUCAAAAUUCAUAUGGACAGGCAUUUGUGUAUUAGCCAAGAGUUGCUAAUGCAUUUCUUGAUCAUAAGUCUCAGAGAAAUGGGAUGAAAGAUCUUAGAUUUUUAUACACUCUGCUUCAAUGAUUUCUCAGCUUUUCUGAUCUGAAAAGAAUAAAGGACACCUUUUAGCUAAGCACUUUCUGUUUUAUUUCUUAUAAUGCCAUGUAGUGGCUGUUACUGCCAACACAGCAGUCAUUUAAUAAACCCUGAAUGUCUGUAGCA
rnacentral:lncRNA from 1 species